GACGAACGCUGGCGGCGUGCCUAAUACAUGCAAGUAGGACGCAGUUGCGAACGGGUGAGUAACGCGUAGGUAACUACCUACUAGAGGGGGAUAACUAUUGGAAACGAUAGCUAAUACCGCAUACUAGUAGAUGGACCUGCGUUGUAUUAGCUAGUAGGUAGGGUAAUGGCCCACCUAGGCAACGAUACAUAGCCGACCUGCGAAGGUGAUCGGCCACAAUGGGACUGAGACACGGCCCAGACACCUACGGGAGGCAGCAGUAGGGAAUCUUCGUCAAUGGGGGGAACCCUGAACGAUCAACGCCGCGUGAGUUAAGAAGGUGUUGGGAUCGUGAAGCUCUGUUGUUAAGGAAGCGGUACUUAACCAGAAAGGGACGGCUAACUACGUGCCAGCAGCCGCGGUAAUAC
rnacentral:rRNA from 1 species